UGGGGAAUAUUGCGCAAUGGGCGAAAGCCUGACCCAGCGACGCCGCGUGAGGGAUGAAGGUUUUCGGAUCGUAAACCUCUGUCAGAAGGGAAGAAACCGCACUGUGCUAAUCAGCAGUGCCUUGCCGGUACCUUCAAAGGAAGCACCGCCUAACUCCGUGCCAUCAGCCGCGGUAAUACGGAGGGUGCAAGCGUUAAACGGAAUUCCUGGGCGUAAAGCGCACGUUGGCUGCUUUGUAAGUCCGGGGUGAAAUCCCACGGCUCAACCGUGGAACUGCCUUUGAUACUGGUUAGCUUGAAUCCGGGAGAGGGUGGCGGAAUUCCAGGUGUAGGAGUGAAAUCCGUAGAUAUCUGGAGGAACAUCAGUGGCGAAGGCGGCCACCUGGACCGGUAUUGACGCUGAGGUGCGAAAGCGUGGGGAGCAAGCAGG
rnacentral:rRNA from 1 species